GACGAACGCUGGCGGCGUGCUUAACACAUGCAAGUCGAACGAAGUGGCGAACGGGUGAGUAACGCGUAAUCAACCUGCCCUUCAGAGGGGGACAACAGUUGGAAACGACUGCUAAUACCGCAUACUGAAGGAGGGGAUUGCGUCUGAUUAGCUAGUUGGAGGGGUAACGGCCCACCAAGGCGAUGAUCAGUAGCCCGUCUGAGAGGAUGAGCGGCAACAUUGGAGCUGAGACAAGGUCCAGACGUCUACGGGAGGCAGCAUGGGGGAAGCGUCCGCAAUGGACUGAAGUCUGACGGAGCAACGCCGCGGGAGUGUUGACGGCCUUCGGGUUGUAAAGCUCUGUUAAGCGGGACGCGGUACCGGAAUAGAAAGCCACGGCUAACUACGUGCCAGCAGCCGCGGUAAUAC
rnacentral:rRNA from 1 species